GACGAACGCUGGCGGCGUGCUUAACACAUGCAAGUCGAGCGGUAAGGCCCUUUCGGGGGUACACGAGCGGCGAACGGGUGAGUAACACGUGGGUGACCUGCCCUUAGCUCUGGGAUAAGCCUGGGAAACUGGGUCUAAUACCGGAUAUGACCUCAUGACUCAUGUUGUGGGGUGGAAAGCCUUGUGCGGCUAGGGAUGGGCCCGCGGCCUAUCAGCUUGUUGGUGGGGUAAUUGCCUACCAAGGCGACGACGGUAGCCGGCCUGAGAGGGCGACCGGCCACACUGGGACUGAGACACGGCCCAGACUCCUACGGGAGGCAGCAGGUGGGGAAUCUUGCGCAAUGGCGAAAGCCUGACGCAGCGACGCCGCGUGAGGA
rnacentral:rRNA from 1 species